rnacentral:rRNA from 1 species
AGUUCGGAUUGGAGUCUGNAACCCGACUCCAUGAAGCUGGAUUCGCUAGUAAUCGCGCAUCAGCCACGGCGCGGUGAAUACGUUCCCGGGCCUUGUACACACCGCCCGUCAAGCCAUGGAAGCCGGGAGUGCCUGAAGUGCGUGAGCGCAAGCAGCGCCCUAAGGUAAAACCGGUGACUGGGGCUAAGUCGUAACAAGGUAAC